UACGGAGGGGGCUAGCGUUGCUCGGAAUCACUGGGCGUAAAGGGUGCGUAGGCGGGUCUUUAAGCCAGGGGUGAAAUCCUGGAGCUCAACUCCAGAACUGCCUUUGAUACUGAGGAUCUUGAGUUCGGGAGAGGUGAGUGGAACUGCGAGUGUAGAGGUGAAAUUCGUAGAUAUUCGCAAGAACACCAAAGGCGAAGGCAGCGUCCUGGGAAGUCACUGACGCUCGGGUGCGAAAGCCAGGGGAGCGAACGGG
rnacentral:rRNA from 1 species